rnacentral:lncRNA from 1 species
AUGAGCCUGUCCCCUGGACACUGUGAGGUCUCACCCUCUACACAGCCCUGGCCAUCUGGGCCUUGUAAGGGGGACCUUAGGAUGGGCUUAGGGGUAACAGAGAAUCAGCUACAGAGAGGAACACAGAGCUUGGGGAACUGGUCAAGGACACUGAGUCAGCUCACAGGUCCAGCCCACACUGGGCGCAGGGGCACUGGCCUCAGCCUAGGGGGAGGCCAGCAAGGGCCUGUGGCCGUCCUAGGGACAGGCUUUCACUCAGCAUGGCUGGGGUGGCAGGGACCUCCUUACAGUGAGGGGUCGGAACCCAGCCUGUUCCCAGAAUGCUGGCACCCCUCCCCCCAAAGGGCCUGCCACACCCUGGAUGGAUUUACACUGGGGAAGGACUGGGCCCCAUCUGACCACAAAGGAAGUCAGGGGGUAAGACCCCAGCCCCGAGGGUCUCAGCUCUGUGGAGACACCUGGCUAUGGUCCUCUACAGACGUGCCCACAGCCCAGGGAGUCCUGUGGAACUAGCACAAUCUCCCACGCGGGACAGGACAGGGUAACCCAGGAUCUGCUGUAGAUUCCAUCUCACAGGGGCUGAGGGGCCCCGAGUCCCCCUUCGCCUACUGGAGGAAUCCACGGAUGCCCUGGCUGAGUCGCCAGGUUGGAGCCGCUCCGGUUCCAGAUCUGUGGGGAGGCCUGGAGCAGACGACAGAGACACAGGUGGCCCUGAGGCCACAGCCAGGACUGUGACGGAGGAAACACAGAGCAUCCCGGGGGUCAGCUCCAAGAUCACGGCCUCCUCCUUCAAGCGUCGAGAGUCACUUCUGAGCUUCCUUUGAAAGCUCGGGGACAGACAGCUCCUCCUGGGGGCAGAGCAUCCCUGGGAGGACAGUUCUGAUACUGGACCUCACGUCCUCUGGACAACUCCCAUCCUCCCCCUGGGCUCACCCUGCACUGGCACGGAGUCCAAAAGCUCAGGAACACGCAGUCAACAGGGCCCUGGGUGACUCGACCCUGCCCUCUGGAAGUCAUAGCCCACCGCUGUCCAGGGAUCAGAGACAGCCCUUAGCGCCUCUGGUGUAGCCCCUGACAUUGUCUGCAGGUCUCCUCAUGCCCACCAGGGGGCAGCAUCAGGAUGCACAGACCACAUUCAGGAAAUUAAUCCCCUGAGACCCACCCUGG